CCACGCUCAGCCCAGAGCCCGACGCGGGGCUUGAUCCCACGACGCUGAGGUCAUGACUUGAGCUGAAAUCAAGAGUUGGACACUCAACCACCUGAGCCACCCCAGUGCCCCGAGAAAUGAAGUAUUCUGAUUCGGGUCACACGGCCAGUAUGUCUCAGUGAUGACAUUCCAAUCUGGUUUUUUGGAUGUGAAUGCUGAAGAGAGAAGAAACCAUGAACAGAACUGAGGACUCAUACGGCAGAUGGAGCUGGUCUUGCCUGAUGGUGAAACUGAGGCCCAGGAGAGUGAAAUAACUUGCCCUCGGCUCACACAGUGGGUGAUGGUCAGAAUUGGAAGCCAGGCCUGCUUGAUGCCAAAAUCUGAACACCUGCCGUGAGUCACAUUUCCGGAGGGGAGGUACACAGCUAGUGGCUUUCUAGGAACCAUCUCAGCAGAAAGAAGUCCCUCACUGCUCUGAGCCCUGUGGUUCUGUAGUCACUGGCAUGACGUGAGGACCCCACAGCAGCAGAGGGCUGCAGACUGAGAAGCUUUACUGUGGACUGUGCCCGAGAGCGUAAAUCAUCCUCAGUCCAGCACGAGGCUUAGGCCGGUUCUUGUGAAGAAAGCUUUACUGGAACUCAGCCACGCCCAUUCACGUACACAUCUUCCAUGGCUGCUUUCGCACUGUGAUGACAGAGUCGAGUAGUUGCAACAGAAACCCAAUGGCUGGCAAAACCUAACAUGUGCAUUACCUAGCCCUUUCUAGAAAAAAGUUUGCUCUCUCCUGGCCCAGAAUUAUAAGAGAUCGUGUUUUUAUUUACUUAAAAUGGAGCAUAUUAUGAUUUGGGAGGCCGGGAAUAUCCAGGAUGUUUGGGACAGGAUCUGAGCUUCUCAUUACGGGGAAGGCAACGGCUUACCGGCAGCUUGGAGGACAGUGUCGACGAGGAUUCUGAGGCGGUGUCUGGACUGGUCUGGGCACUUCCAGAGAGGUGAGGGCUGGGCUACGAGUCAUGUAGGCGAGGAGCACCAGAUGAGGAAAUGAGCAAGGCGAAUAAAUCCAUGCCCUUCUUUCCCAAAGGUGAAAGCACUUGGCACUGCUGAGUUUGGAACUGUAAACAUACCCUCACUGGAGUGAGAAAGGUGACACUGAACUACCAUUCAAGCUUGACAGAGGCCGACAACAGGCAGAAAAGGCUAAGGUUGGGCUAGAGCUCCUGCUUCAGUUAAGGCUUCUAUGUACUCAUGGGAGGCUAGCAAUGCAACAGUGUUCGUCCAGGGUGGCAUUUCCUAUAAAGCUUCCCAUUUGGAGAAGACGGGGGCAUUUAUUAAUCUGUGCAAUCGCAAUGCCGCUUAAAAAAUGUUACAAGUUAUUUAAGGACGAAAAGAUCAGGGUGUGUGACAAUGCACGUUUAUUGGAGAAAGUGGUAUAAAAUGUGGCUCCUGUCAUUUAUAUAGAGACGUAUAUACGUAGCCCUUGGACUGUGGGUUUUAAAGUUGAAGAAUCUUAACACUACCUACUCCAAUGAGCAAUUCUUCAGUGAUCCAAAUAAAUCCGGGUAGUGGAGUGGUCCUCCGCAGACUCUCCUUGUUACGGUGAAAGUGUCACUGAAAGGUGGAUGCCAGUCUGGUUUUGGGAACUCAAAUCACAGAGUCUGUCACUCAGGAUAAAUCCUUCUAAAAUAUAUUAGCUACCUUCGCAUAAA